GAUGAACGCUGGCGGCGUGCCUAAUACAUGCAAGUCGAGCGAACGGACGAGAAGCUUGCUUCUCUGAUGUUAGCGGCGGACGGGUGAGUAACACGUGGAUAACCUACCUAUAAGACUGGGAUAACUUCGGGAAACCGUAGCUAAUACCGUAUAAUAUUUUGAACCGCAUGGUUCAAAAGUGAAAGACGGUCUUGCUGUCACUUAUAGAUGGAUCCGCGCUGCAUUAGCUAGUUGGUAAGGUAACGGCUUACCAAGGCAACGAUGCAUAGCCGACCUGAGAGGGUGAUCGGCCACAUCGUCACUCAGACACGCUCCAGCCUCCUACGCUAGCAACCAGUCCCGAAUCUUCCCACAUGGGCCAAAGCCUGACGGUGCCACGCCGCGUGAGUGAUGAAGCUCUUCCGAUCGUAAAACUCUGUUACUAGGGAAGCUCAUAUGUGUAAGUAAAUGUGCACAUCUUGACGGUACCUAAUCAGCAACCCACCGCUACCCACGUG
rnacentral:rRNA from 1 species